UCCCAUCCCGAACACGGAAGUUAAGCUCACUUGCGCCGAAGAUACUUGCCUGGAGACGGGCCGGAAAAAUAGGUAACGCCAACA
rnacentral:rRNA from 1 species